UAAAGUGGAUUAGCGGCGGACGGGUGAGUAACACGUGAGUAACCUGCCUUAGACAUUGGGAUAGCCUCGGGAAACCGGGAUUAAUACCAAAUAAAAUCAUAAUGACACAUGUCAUAACGAUCAAAACUCCGGUGGUCUAAGAUGGACUCGCGUCCCAUUAGCUAGUUGGUAGAGUAAAAGCCUACCAAGGCGACGGUGGGUAGCCGGCCUGAGAGGGUGAACGGCCACAUUGGAACUGAGAAACGGUCCAA
rnacentral:rRNA from 1 species